UCGUGACUGUUCUGAUUCCUGUUGCUGCAGCCAGCGUGGAUCCGGAUGCCGUGGCUACAGAGGCUUGUUACUUUCUCAUGCUGGAUCCCUCAAAUCCAAGAGCUACUUGGCAGUUUCCAAGGCAACCACCUGUGGAAUAAUUAAAAAGGAUGAAGUGUUAGCCUGCCAGAUAUAAGGAAUUCUUGCCUGGAGAGAGCAUUUCACUUUCAUCUGCCUUGAAGAACCAAAUGUGCUUCUGCCAGCAAAGUUAAGAAAAAGGAAAGGUGGCUGAGUUGUACAAGUGAACCAGGACAACCCAAAAUGUGACUCAAAGCAGGAGGGAGCAGAUGGCAGCAUCGUUAGCUGGUGGCCACAGCCUUCCCAGAUGAGUUUUGGAAUUUCCAUCAAAGUCGGGAUUAGGCUCAGGAUAUGCCGGUGGCACAGAGCACGCCGGGGGAGCGUGGAAGAAGAGGAAAUCAUUCAUAGCGACUCAUCUCGUGGUUGGGUGCUGAUCUCACAGAGGUGUCCUGCAUAUGCCAAAGGACGAACGUGUUGUUUGAGGGAAAAGCUGCUCAUAAAUCUGUGCAAACUGAAAGAUUCUGAAGACAAACCUGUCAGUAGUGAAUUGUCCCAGAAGCACAUGGAGAAAGUUGUACAUGGUGGAGGCUGUUUUUUCUGAGCUCAAUGAGAAAGUUGCCCUCAGUUCUUCUGAUCAUUAAAUCUAAGAAGGAUGGGGCAGUUCAAGAUCUGAAAAUGUCCUAAAACUUCCAGGACCUAAUUAGAAGGAGGCAUCUUGGAGCAGCACAAUAGCUCUCUCUGUGCAGUUCAUUUGUUUUUCCAAUUUAGAAAUGACAGUUUACAGCCCUAACGCGAGCGUGUUUCUCAUUAGCCGUGUUCUAGAAAGGCACAGAGUUAUUACAAGUUCUGAAAGAUGCUUUCUUCAGAAGUGCAAAUGAUAUUAAAUGGCAGAACUUACUCUCUGGAUAGUCAGAUGGAGAUGCUGUGGUCUGCACCCGUCCUAGGUCAUGUGGUAAAAGGCAGAGCCAUGCAGCUGGACCUCGGCUUCAAAUCCAUGGGUGUCAUGAAUGCAAUGCAUGGAAGAGAUGCUGCAGCACGAUUUAGCCUUGUCCUGGGAAGAUAAUGGCUGGGAAGUGUCACUGCUUUCCUUGUUUCACAGAUGGAUCUCAGGUUUCUUGGACUUUCUCAUGAAGAUUUUCUUGGAGAGGACUGUGUUAGCUGUGCUGCUGACAGAUGCCCUUGUGAGAACUGUCCCCACUAACUUGAUUUCUCUCCUUCAGCCAUCUAGAAGUUUGGUUCCUAGUCUAAGCUGGUUGGUUUUGUUGUCCUUGUGGUAAAGGAAGAGAGAACUGCAUCUUGGGAGAUGAUAAAGCUUUAGGAAAUGAUGUGAUUAGUCUUUUACAUGGUUUUCUGCACCCUGAAGGGAAAGAGUUUGAAAAUACUUUUUUACCUGUAAUCAGGACUCCACAGUUGGGUUCAUCUUGGAUGAUGGUGUAGGGUCUGGAACUGAAGUUCUUUGAGAAGCAGCUGAGGGAGCUGGGGGGGCUCAGCCUGGAGAAGAGGAGGCUCAGGGGGGACCUUCUUGCUUUCUACAAUUCCCUGACAGAAGGGGAGGAGGGUGGUGGGGUUGGUCUCUCCCAGGGAACCGGGGACAGGACAAGGGGAAAUGGCCUCAAGUUGCAUCAGGGGAGGCUCAGGUUGGAUAUUGGGAAAAAUUUCUUCACUGAAAGAAUCGUUAAGCACUGGAACAGGCUGCCCAGAGCAGUGGUGGAAUCACCAUCCCUGGAAGUUCUCAAAAAACGAGUGGACCUGGCACUUCAUGACAUGGUUUAGUGGGCAUAGGUGGCAUUAAGUCAGAGGUUGGACUUGAUCAUCUUAAAGGUCUUUUCCAACCUAAAUUAUUCUGUGGUUCUAAUCUACUAAAAUCAGCUUUCACAGGGCUUCCAGGAGCUGGUACAGAGCACAAAGGGUAAUGAACUGCAGGGGGGAAGAAUUAAGAUGCUUCACUCUUCUUGAAAAUACUGCAGUAAGGCAAAAUCUGGGGCUUCUGCAUUGCUGGAGGAAACAGUUUGGUUCUGCCCCCACUUCAAAGCAGCUUUACUGUAUUGCUAGAGCACCAGUGUUUUUGUGUGCCUGCGUGGAAGAUUCCCAGGCAGCUGUAUGUGCUCGGGGCAGAGCCUGGGGACACACGGGCGGGAGCACAGCUCGGUCCUGCUGCUUCCUGCCUGCUCUGCUCCACACAGGCACUUUCUGGACAGAAAAGCUGCACAGUAAAUCCAGUGCUGAUGUGGCCUGGCACAGUGACAGCUCUUCCAGUAACUGCCCGCUCUCGGAGGCCCAUCCUCCUCCGUUGGGUUGUUUUCCUUAAAACAGUGCUGUUCUACACCCGGAUGGGGCACACGGCCUCUCUGUGCCUCCCUCUGCCACCAGAAACUCCGUGGUGCCUUCUCUGCUGCUGCUUGGGGGUAAUUAGUUCC